AAUAAAUACAUAAAAUCUUAAAAAAUAAGCACAACAUAUAUAAUAGUUCAUUAUAUUUUAGCUUAUUUAAUACUCACAACAACACUGUAAAGUUGGUCUGUGUGUAUUUUGCCAUUUACAAGUAAGGGAGUUAACAUACAGAAAGAUCAGUAACUUGCCCAAGGUUCUGUAAUUUGCAAGUGUCAGAGCUGGGAUUUGCGCUCGGCAGUUUAUACCCAGGAAUUAUACUCUUAAAGCCCUAUGGUACAAUUAUGAGUCGUAUGGUAUUUAAACUUCUGUUGUUUGAUUGAUUGACUUUACAUAGUGACACAUGACACUACCCUAGUGUUGUCCAGCUGAACUUUCUGUGAUGACGAAAAUAGUCUACAAUUGCCCUGUCCAAUAAGAAGCCACCAGAUAGAUACCUGUGGUGUUAAGCCCUAGAAAUUGUGCUAUUGUGAAUGAUGAGCUGGAUUUAACAUUUCACUUCAUUUUAAUUAAUUUAAAUUUGAAUAGCCACCAUGGCUAGUAGCAUUCAUUGGGCUGCACAGAUCGAUAGAAGAUUUAAAAAAAUGGACACCUCAUCCCUUUGUCAUACUUUCUGACCAGCAAUGAUGGAUAAACUACCUUUGUUUGUUUCUGAUGCUAGUCCCUUCCCUUACUUUUAAGUCCGGAAAACAUGCCUCUAUUUGUAUCUCUUGAUUGAGACAUUGGAUUGACUGCACCGUGCAAGAUGGGCAAUUCAUUUGUGGGCCCCUCCCCCACAUCUUUUUCUCCGUCUAACUUGCAUUGGUUAUUUUAGUUUUCAUAUCAGUUAGGAUUCUUCUGAUUGCAAGUGGGAAAAAAGAGCCCAAUAAACCUGAUUUGAGUAAUAAAAGGGGAUUUUAUGGCUCAUAUAAAUUCCAAGAUUAGAGGCAGCACUGCCAUUCGGGAGGCUGCAUUCAGAGCUCAAACACUGGGAGCCGGACUUGAGUCCAGCUCAGCUCUCCUUGGUCUGGAAGCUUCAUUCUCAAAUCCUUCAUGGUGGCCACAGCUGCAGGAGCUGUAACUUCAGAUCCUCGUAGAGUCUAGACUAGCGGGAAAGAAUGCAUAAGCCUUUACUGUUGUGCUGUUUAACUGUGGCCACUGUAAUGCUGAGUGCACACACAAACACACACACAGAGUCUCUGUGGUGUACAGCAAUCAUGUAUCUUACAAUCAUGUGGCUGAGGUCUGCUGAUCUAGGUUGGGCUUGGCUGAGUGACCCUGCUGAUCUUGGUUGGGACCUCUCACACCUCAGGGCUGGGAUAGCUCAGGGAUGCUCCAUGUGCCUCUCAAGUUUUUCCUGGGCCUAGAGAUGACAGAGGCCCAGGAGCAGCCACAUAAGUAUAUCCCAUUAGCUAAACAAAGUCCCAUGACUGCACCCAAAAUCAACAGAAUGGGGAAGUAUAUUCUUCCCAUAGAAGUGAGAAGGAGGGAGGGAAUAUUUAUAAGCAGGUAAGCUUGACUUGCUUAUUUCAAAACCAGUAACUGUGGCCAAGGGCCUGGGUCAUACAAUUUGGCCUAGGUCUUAGGUCCACAGUCCAUCCUGGAGAUAGAGUUUGCAUUCAGAUUCACCCAAAACAUGUAGCCCAAGAGUGGAAGAGGUAUGUUUACCCCCUGCGAAAGAUCAGAGUUCUACUGGCCACACAGAGAGGAAAUGAUUGGGAGAUGGCUGACCACAUGAUUAUGACUUUAAACAAUAUUUUAAACUCUGUUUCUUGAGACUUUGGUUCUAGAUUGUAUCCCCAGACCUCAUACUCAUGAGUUCUUCAGUCCACACCGCCCACUUGAAUCACCUUGAUCAUAUAAGAUACUUGUGUCUAUUUAGGAAGGAAAGACUAUGUGAUUAACAAAGGUGGCUUGGUGUAGGUAGUUAAGUUCUCUGCCACUGGCGAAGCAUGUUUCCUCAAUCAGCAUAUCUCUCUAAAGGUGGAGACCACCUGUGUAAUGGACAAACUUCAAUGGACAAACUUCCCUUUAGGAUAUUAGGGUAUUAGGGAAUCAUGCAGAUGGUGUUCUUUAUCCUACCAAAACACCAAAACCAAAGAACUUCCCUGAGGAACACCAAAUACCCAUACGAAAGGCCUUAGUUCUGUCUAGGUAGCAAUCUUAUUUUCUUCAUAGGGGAGAACCCAGGGAGCAAGUGAAGUCUCCGAGUCUUCUCCUGCCAGCCUAUUUGCAUGCAUAGAAAGGCGAAGAAGAAUGAGAAAGGCCAGAUGAUACAGCUGGUCUCUGAACAACCUUUUGGGCUCCUUUUCCAAUUCAGAGCUGGGACUGUGUUAAUGCCCAGUGUGGAGAUUCCCCCAAGGCUUCUUCAGAAAGAAUAUCUCUAUCCGUUUUACAACCUUCUCUUGAGUAAACCUGGGACGCUGCUUCCUCUCUUCUGCUUUGGCCAUCAGUACCAUUCACUUCCUUUCCAUCUUACAGAAAAUUCUCAAAUCUCAGCAGACUGUCCCCUUUUUAUCUCCGGUUAUCCAUUUGUUUGUUUUGCUGACUCUUCAGCAGAAUUUUGAGAAUAUAGAAAAAUGCAUGUGCUCAGUCUUGAACACACACACACACACACACGUAAUAUUGUAGAUAGAAUUUUUAAAACAAAAUUGGAUCUUGCCUAUUUUGCCACUGGCUUGAUCGGAUACUGUUCUCAAAGAGUCUCAAAAGUUGUUUGUCAGAGUCACCCUGGGAAAAUGGGAAUUUCUUUUUACUCCUUUUUUUUUUCUUUUAAAUAAAAUUAACAGGGUUUUGGCUUGCUUGUUUUGCUAUCCAAAUGAAUGAAUGAUUCAGAUUUCAACUUUAGGGAUGGUAUGAUCUAUUACACAGAAAUUAAAUUGAGUUGGCAUUGAAAAGCAGGAAAUGGUACACAUGAAAAUCAAUUGAUUCUAACCUCUGGAGGUUAAAGUGUUGUUGUCAUCGUUUGUUUGCUAGUUUUUAAUCCUGAGCAAUUCUAAGCCAUGCCUUUUCAAACUAGAGCUUUUACUUCAAGUCCUGAGGGAGGUUGGUGAGGAAGGGUAGCAAGGAACCCCCAAUUAGAGUGGGUGAGUGACCCAGGAAGGAAACAGCUGUUUUAUGUGGGAUCUAAAAUCCAGCAAAUAUCUAUUAGUAGGACUAUGUAUAUAUUUACUGUAUGCCAAUGAUAUUCAGAAUCUCUAGGUCUACCGAGGAUGGCUAAAACACACAGAGAGUAAGAGGAAGGCUCUCUGUCUGGUGGGCUUCAGAUAGAAGAGAUGCACAUCAUUCGGAUAGACACUUUCCAGGAGAGAAUGAUGACUCACACGGGGAUGACUUAAAUGGCAUCUGGUUUCCAUUUUCUUUGUUUCUUCUCUUGGACUCCAUUCAGAGGCACUUCCUUCCAGCUGGAGCUUUUAAUGGCAUAAUGUGAAGGCAAGAUCCACAGAAGUGGGUUUAGAGGAGGGACUUGAAGGAGAAAAUGCAGAUCGUCAGGGGAGACUAUGGAAAAUUACACCCAGAUGGGUGGUAACAGAGAAUGUACACACAUCCAGACUAAAAUAUACCAAUUAAAAUAUUUAGGGAAAUGCAAAGAAGUAUAUAAUUUUUAAUAUGUGAUAACAAAAAUUUCAACUGAAUAAAAAGUCAAAGAGAUAUACUCCUGAUGAUAAUUAACAGCACAUUAAUGCCAUUUCUGUUUCCGGCCUCGGAAAAUAUGUCGGCUUUCUUUAUUUAAAUGAAUGUAGCAUAGCACUACUUGUGGUUUUGCUAUGAUCUAUCUAUUCGUUCUACACACUAGCUCCAUUCACGGUGGUGAUACCCUUCUUCCUACUUCAUAGCUGGAGAAGCACUGUUGAACCUUGUCUGCUGUUCCAAACUGGUCUGGGAGGUCGGGUAGGACCAUCAUCUGGGUAGAGGGAUUGGCUUGUGUUGUUAUAAUAACCAGCAACCCAUCAGAGCCCAUACAAGACUGGAGGGGUAUAGCAAACAAUUGCUUUCCCUACGGAAGCACUCAUUCUCGUUCCUCUCACUCUUUCAGCAGCAAGGCGGGAGCUCAUUUCUCUUUUAAAAAUGAGAAUCCAUCGUAUUCUACACUUUUCUUUUGUUUUACAUUAUGUUUCUUUCAGAUAAGUAUCACCUCAAAUGAGUGAUCUGCCCCGGUCUUGUCCUCUUCCCUAUGCCCCAAAAACACUUGCAAGAGGCCAUAUCCGUAGAGGUAGGUAUAAUGGCAUUAGAAGUUAUGACAAUGGUUCUGUUCUAGACACUAUGGUGGGUAGAGCUAAUUAAAACUAAGAACAAGUCAAAGAAUAAUUAUUGGGCAUUUGAUGAAGACAUGGCAUUGUCCAGGUGUCUGGGGAAAUAGGGUUUAAUGAGUAAUAGUACAUAUAUACAAAAUGGUAAUAUGAUACUGAUUGUAUUACACUCUAAGAGAGGUAUAAAUAAGGCUAAUGGGGAUAAUAGAGAUUAGUUUUGAUGGUGGGGGUCAGAGAGGGGAGUACAAAGUAGAGAAUACUGGUCAAAGGAGAAUAUGGAAUGUGUGGGGAGGAUUCUCUGCCUCAUUGAUUUAGAUAAAUCCAGAGGGAGUGCCAACUUCCCACGUAGGCCCUGGGGUCCAUGAACACAGAUGCCAAACAGAUCAGGCAGGUACCGUAAAUACGUGAAUCCAGCCAUGUGUAAGGCAGUUGGGAAUGGUAGAACUUGUGAUGAACUGAGGGUAUGUCUACCAAAAUUCUAUUUCAUAUUAAAAAUUCAUAGUCAAACAAUUCAAGUCAUUGCCUGCAAAUCUUCUCUGUCAUCCAAAGGUCUUCCUGUGCCUCUAAGUUUAGACCCAACCACCUCCUCCAGCCCAAAGAGAGACCCAAGCUUUCCUCCAAUGACACAGUCACAUCUGCAUAACUAACAGAGUCCUCUAGAAUUGGUGCUCUGGAACUAUGAUAGAGGUAGGCCUCAGAGACAAAUAUACUUUUCCACAGUGGAAGACCAGAUUCGUUAAAAGUCAGUUUUGUUAGCCUCCACAGGAUAUUCCAUCACUCACGGGCCACAAAACCAGCAGUGGAAGAGCUGGCAGAGUUAGCUCAGUCUGUCAUUGCUCCAGGGGUGUUUCUGGAAUCUGAGGGCUGCAGCAGGCUGAAGAGAAAGAGGAAUGCCACUGCUUCAUGUGUUGGACUCUUGAGUAAGAUCCUGUCUGAAGAAAGAAGACCUUUGAAUAUUUUUACAAUGGAGACAAGCAAAUUGCAUCCACCUCUUCAGAGAAGAACUUGGCUGUGAUGCCCUGCCUUGGUCUUCCUUCUAGUAUUCCUGUGAGGGAAAACUCCACUGCUCUCAUUUGCUAAUGACCCUCGACUCAGAACCCUUCACUCUUGGUCACCACAUAUGUAGGCAUUUCCUCACACCAAACCUCUAAUUCUUGGCAGAGACUGACUGGGUGGCUUACAAAUUUAACCCAAUUCUGACUUCUAGGAGAAGGGCUCAGUCCUGCAAGGCCGCCCUCACCUCAGAUGAUAAUCUCAAGUGGAGCUUGUCACCUGUACCCUUGACGGACCAGCUAUAAAUCAGGGUUCCUAUGGCCCUCUCUUCAGGCACAAGAAAGAUAAAGCUCUUUGUCUAACACUUUACCAGUUCUUCCUGCUGUGGGAUUCCUGGAAGACGACCUUGCUCAGCCUCAGACAACCCUUUCCAGGAUGCAUUUGUGUCAUCAGCUCUUCUUCCAACAGAAUUUAGAUGGUAAUAGUCGCAAAUUAAUUCAUUGCAUGAGUCAAUGCAGAAAGUGACCAAGAUUAUGGAUUUUCUUUGACCUUUGACAAUUUAUGGGUCAUUUGGAAGGAGUGGAAGUUGACCAUGAAUGUUUGAUUAUUUUGACUGGUUAGAUGACUGAGUGGCAGAAAGUUGUUGAAGGUAUUUACCAAACUCCAAUCUAAGAUCCCUGGGGAUUCAUGAACAUCCUAGGAGAAUCAACCUAGCAGGCCUCAAAGAGAAGCUGGACUUAUUUUCCACCGUGACCUAGUCUGAACUUCAUGGGAUCAGAAAUUCUGAAGAAGUACAGAACUAUUUGAGAAAAUGAAAUCACUCUUUCGGAAGCAAUUCACUCAUUUUGGUGCUAUGAAUCAUGCUGUAAGCUUCUUUGCUUGCUUGAUGCUUGAACACUGCAGGUUCCUAAAUGAUCAACUAUCUGUCCUAGCCAUGUCACUCAGUUUCUGGAGUCUUGGUGUUCAACCCUGGGGCAAUGUCUGUGUUUUCAUGGCUCUGUGACAGUACACUCCAUUUUGUUGACACAGAGACCCGUCCUCCAUAAUGUAAACCUAGUGUCAAAACUGCAAUGGUUCCUGACUGAAUAUACCCUCAGUUCUCAAAAAGAUUGAGUUAUUGAGUUGGUCAAAUACUGGUAUUCUUCCCUGAACUCAUCGUUAAGGAUUGACUAACCAUAGGCUAAAAGCUAUGUUUUUAUGUGUUGAAAUUUGGCUAACCUGCCUUUUUUUUUUUUUAAGAUUUUAUUU